rnacentral:tRNA from 1 species
GGUGCGUUGGACGAAUUGGUAGAGUCACCGCCCUUUCACGGCGGAAUUUAAGGGUUCAAAUCCCUUACGCAUCACCA